rnacentral:rRNA from 1 species
AGUGAACGCUGGCGGUAGGCCUAACACAUGCAAGUCGAACGGCAGCACAGUAAGAGCUUGCUCUUACGGGUGGCGAGUGGCGGACGGGUGAGGAAUACAUCGGAAUCUACUUUUUCGUGGGGGAUAACGUAGGGAAACUUACGCUAAUACCGCAUACGACCUACGGGUGAAAGCAGGGGAUCUUCGGACCUUGCGCGAUUGAAUGAGCCGAUGUCGGAUUAGCUAGUUGGCGGGGGUAAAGGCCCACCAAGGCGACGAUCCGUAGCUGGUCUGAGAGGAUGAUCAGCCACACUGGAACUGAGACACGGUCCAGACUCCUACGGGAGGCAGCAGUGGGGAAUAUUGGACAAUGGGCGCAAGCCUGAUCCAGCCAUACCGCGUGGGUGAAGAAGGCCUUCGGGUUGUAAAGCCCUUUUGUUGGGAAAGAAAAGCAGCAGGUUAAUACCCCGCUGUUCUGACGGUACCCAAAGAAUAAGCACCGGCUAACUUCGUG